CUGCAGCUCCAGCUCUCUGGGAAGCACAAAGACAGAUAAAGCAGACAUCAACAAUCACCCGCCGGGACUCACCGUGGAGGCUCUCUCUGAUGACAGCUCUGUGGACGGCCAUGUAGACCAGCAGGGGUCCCACAGUGGCGUAGAAGACAGCGCUUGGCAGCAGCUGAUCUGUCAGGUGGACCGGAAACAGAGCUAGGGUGAAGUGGCUGCUCUUUGUGUCUCGGACCAGGCUGGUAGUCAUGGCGCUGUUGGGCCCCCAGCGCCACUGAAGGUAACCCAUGGUGUUCUGGUCCAGGUGGCGUGCUGUC